GAUGAACGCUGGCGGCGUGCCUAAUACAUGCAAGUCGAGCGAACAGACGAGGAGCUUGCUCCUCUGACGUUAGCGGCGGACGGGUGAGUAACACGUGGAUAACCUACCUAUAAGACUGGGAUAACUUCGGGAAACCGGAGCUAAUACCGGAUAAUAUAUUGAACCGCAUGGUUCAAUAGUGAAAGACGGUUUUGCUGUCACUUAUAGAUGGAUCCGCGCCGCAUUAGCUAGUUGGUAAGGUAACGGCUUACCAAGGCAACGAUGCGUAGCCGACCUGAGAGGGUGAUCCGCCACACUGGAACUGAGACACGGUCCAGACUCCUACGGGAGGAAGCAGUAGGGAAUCUUCCGCAAUGGGCGAAAGCCUGACGGAGCAACGCCGCGUGAGUGAUGAAGGUCUUCGGAUCGUAAAACUCUGUUAUUAGGGAAGAACAAAUGUGUAAGUAACUAUGCACGUCUUGACGGUACCUAAUCAGAAAGCCACGGCUAACUACGUG
rnacentral:rRNA from 1 species